UUUUCCAGUUUUAACUUGCCAAAUGCAACCUUAAUCUAGUUCAUUUGCAUAAGCUUUAAAAUAGGCCUUUAGAACAAAUGUAAAUGGAUCUUCAAAGAACAAUAUUUUGAUGGGUUCUCCCUGUAAAUGACUCAAAAACAUAUGGAUGACAUUUCAUGAGGAUUUCCCAGAGAAACCUGCUCUCCAUUGGUAUGCAUAAAAGCCUUACUGAGGUUGGCAAGAGAGAAGACGAUGACGAAUCCAGCAGUUUGCUAAAAUAUAGGUCACCUUAAAUCAUCACUUAGGAAAUGGCUAGUCUUCUUUUCAUGGCAAGACACUGAAGAAAAUUGCACUGAGUAGCUGCCUGGAGAUUGAUGCAGUGGGAAUAAUCUAUUUCUUCUUCUCAGUGAGCAAAUACCCAGCAGGAAAGUCCUUGAGCCUAAAGCGGGAACUUCCACAAAGUCACCGGUGCCAUCAUCAUAAAUGAAUGAAUGACUGAAUCAUGGGUUGCUGUU